AGAGUUUGAUCCUGGCUCAGAAUGAACGCUGGCGGCGUGGAUAAGACAUGCAAGUCGAACGAAAAGUGAUUUAGUUUACUAAUGAUCUUUUAGUGGCGGACGGGUUAGUAACGCGUGAGCAACCUGCCUUAAAGAGGGGGAUAGUCCUGGGAAACUGGGUUUAAUACCGCAUAAGCUCUACGGAGUAAAGUGGCCUUCGGGUCACGCUUUAAGAUGGGCUCGCGUCCUAUCAGCUUGUUGGUGAGGUAAAAGCUCACCAAGGCGACGACGGGUAGUUGGUCUGAGAGGACGAUCAGCAACACUGGAACUGAGACACGGUCCAGACACCUACGGGUGGCAGCAGUCGAGAAUCAUUCACAAUGGACGAAAGUCUGAUGGUGCAACGCCGCGUGUGGGAUGAAGGCCUUAGGGUCGUAAACCACUGUCAUGUGAGAGUAAGACAUAUUAGUUAAUACCUAGUAUGUUUGAUAGUAUCACAAGAGGAAGGGACGGCUAACUUCGUGCCAGCAGCCGCGGUAAUACGAAGGUCCCGAGCGUUAUUCGGAAUCACUGGGCGUAAAGGGAGCGUAGGCGGCGCGGUAAGUCAGAUGUGAAAUCUCAGAGCUCAACUCUGAAACUGCAUCCGAUACUGCCGUGCUAGAGUAAUGGAGGGGUAACUGGAAUUCUCGGUGUAGCAGUGAAAUGCGUAGAUAUCGAGAG
rnacentral:rRNA from 1 species